GUUGAGCCAAGACACUAUUUUUGGCAUUUGCUUGAGACUAGUUCUCUCUCAUUCUUCUUAGCUUCUGUAAACUUGGUUCUAUUCGACCUUUUGCUUUAUAAUUCUGUCGGCUACUUCUCUUCUCAUUAAUCUCUGAUGUUAAACAUUAUUUCUCUUACAUUUAUAAGGAUGCUAAUGAUAAAUAUAAAUAAUACAAGUAUGUUAAUUGACAAAAUGAAAACAAGGUAAUGAUUUAAUAUAAAAAUAAAGAAAAUGAAUGAUAAUUGAUUAUAAGAAUAGUAAAUAAAAAGGUAUUUUCAGCU
rnacentral:lncRNA from 1 species